rnacentral:misc_RNA from 1 species
UGUGGGAGCGAGCCUGCUCGCGAUGGCGGAGGGUCAUCCAACAUUGGUGUUGAAUGAUUCGCCGCCAUCGCGAGCAGGCUCGCUCCCACA